rnacentral:rRNA from 1 species
UACGUAGGGUGCAAGCGUUGUCCGGAAUUACUGGGCGUAAAGGGCUCGUAGGCGGCCAACUAAAUCAUACGUGAAAUCCCUCGGCUUAACCGGGGAACUGCGCCUGAUACUGGAUGGCUUGAGAUUGGGAGAGGGAUGCGGAAUUCCAGGUGUAGCGGUGAAAUGCGUAGAUAUCUGGAGGAACACCGGUGGCGAAGGCGGCAUCCUGGACCAACACUGACGCUGAGGAGCGAAAGCCAGGGGAGCAAACGGG